GAAAUGCGAUAAGUAGUGUGAAUUGCAGAAUUCAGUGAAUCAUCGAAUCUUUGAACGCACAUUGCGCCCCUUGGUAUUCCAUGGGGCAUGCCUGUUCGAGCGUCAUUUGUACCCUCAAGCUCUGCUUGGUGUUGGGUGUUUGUCCCGUCUCCGCGCGUGGACUCGCCCCAAAGUGAUUGGCAGCCGGCGUACUGGUCCCGGAGCGCAGCACAUGUCGCGCAAACGAGUGCCUUGGUACGGCGGCGUCCAUAAGCCCCUCUCUCACGCUCUUGACCUCGGAUCAGGUAGGGAUACCCGCUGAACUUA
rnacentral:misc_RNA from 1 species